UCGAGCUCCGUUCCUCGAGGUGGGAGGGAACGACAUGUAUCAGGCUCUCUACGACAAACGGCUUCAGCUACGACUGCUCUUGGCCGGCUCUGCAGUACACCAACUGGUACGGCGAGGAACCGCUAGGUGCGCUGUUCCCAUACACGUUGGAUUACCUGUCGCCUCAGGACUGCACCGUGGACAGGUGUCCCCGACG